rnacentral:rRNA from 1 species
AUUGAACGCUGGCGGCAGGCCUAACACAUGCAAGUCGAACGAGUGGCGGACGGGUGAGUAGUGUCUGGGAAACUGCCCGAUGGAGGGGGAUAACUACUGGAAACGGUAGCUAAUACCGCAUACCCUUGGAUGUGCCCUGAUUGGAUUAGCUAGUAGGUGGGGUAACGGCUCACCUAGUCGACGCUCCCUAGCUGGUCUGAGAGGAUGACCAGCCACACUGGAGCUGAGACACGGUCCAGACUCCUACGUGAGGCAGCAGUGGGGAAUAUUGCACAAUGGGCGCAAGCCUGAUGCAGCCAUGCCGCGUGUAUGAAGAAGGCCUGCGGGUUGUAAAGUACUUUCAGCGAGGAGGCGUUACUCGCAGAAGAAGCACCGGCUAAAGCCGUGCCAGCCGCCGCGGUAAUAC